rnacentral:rRNA from 1 species
UGCUGGAGGUAUCAGAAGUGCGAAUGCUGACAUAAGUAACGAUAAAGCGGGUGAAAAGCCCGCUCGCCGGAAGACCAAGGGUUCCUGUCCAACGUUAAUCGGGGCAGGGUGAGUCGACCCCUAAGGCGAGGCCGAAAGGCGUAGUCGAUGGGAAACGGGUUAAUAUUCCCGUACUUGGUGUUACUGCGAAGGGGGGACGGAGAAGGCUAUGUUGGCCGGGCGACGGUUGUCCCGGUUUAAGCGUAUAGGUGUGUGUUCCAGGUAAAUCCGGUUCACUUUAACACUGAGGCGUGAUGACGAGGCGCUACGGUGCUGAAGCAACAAAUGCCCUGCUUCCAGGAAAAGCCUCUAAGCAUCAGGUAACAUCAAAUCGUACCCCAAACCGACACAGGUGGUCAGGUAGAGAAUACCAAGGCGCUUGAGAGAACUCGGGUGAAGGAACUAGGCAAAAUGGUGCCGUAACUUCGGGAGAAGGCACGCUGACAUGUAGGUGAAGUGAUUUACUCACGGAGCUGAAGUCAGUCGAAGAUACCAGCUGGCUGCAACUGUUUAUUAAAAACACAGCACUGUGCAAACACGAAAGUGGACGUAUACGGUGUGACGCCUGCCCGGUGCCGGAAGGUUAAUUGAUGGGGUCAGCGCAAGCGAAGCUCCUGAUCGAAGCCCCGGUAAACGGCGGCCGUAACUAUAACGGUCCUAAGGUAGCGAAAUUCCUUGUCGGGUAAGUUCCGACCUGCACGAAUGGCGUAAUGAUGGCCAGGCUGUCUCCACCCGAGACUCAGUGAAAUUGAACUCGCUGUGAAGAUGCAGUGUACCCGCGGCAAGACGGAAAGACCCCGUGAACCUUUACUAUAGCUUGACACUGAACAUUGAGCCUUGAUGUGUAGGAUAGGUGGGAGGCUUUGAAGUGUGGACGCCAGUCUGCAUGGAGCCGACCUUGAAAUACCACCCUUUAAUGUUUGAUGUUCUAACGUGGACCCGUAAUCCGGGUUGCGGACAGUGUCUGGUGGGUAGUUUGACUGGGGCGGUCUCCUCCUAAAGAGUAACGGAGGAGCACGAAGGUUGGCUAAUCCUGGUCGGACAUCAGGAGGUUAGUGCAAUGGCAUAAGCCAGCUUGACUGCGAGCGUGACGGCGCGAGCAGGUGCGAAAGCAGGUCAUAGUGAUCCGGUGGUUCUGAAUGGAAGGGCCAUCGCUCAACGGAUAAAAGGUACUCCGGGGAUAACAGGCUGAUACCGCCCAAGAGUUCAUAUCGACGGCGGUGUUUGGCACCUCGAUGUCGGCUCAUCACAUCCUGGGGCUGAAGUAGGUCCCAAGGGUAUGGCUGUUCGCCAUUUAAAGUGGUACGCGAGCUGGGUUUAGAACGUCGUGAGACAGUUCGGUCCCUAUCUGCCGUGGGCGCUGGAGAACUGAGGGGGGCUGCUCCUAGUACGAGAGGACCGGAGUGGACGCAUCACUGGUGUUCGGGUUGUCAUGCCAAUGGCACUGCCCGGUAGCUAAAUGCGGAAGAGAUAAGUGCUGAAAGCAUCUAAGCACGAAACUUGCCCCGAGAUGAGUUCUCCCUGAGACUU